rnacentral:tRNA from 1 species
GCACUAGUCGUUCAGUGUAGAAUUCUUGCCUUCCAUGCAGGAGACCUGGGUUUGAUUUACGGCCAGUGCA